CAGAUAUUGAAUUAGUUCAUGCUUGUCCGACAAGCUUGGCGCCUUCUCCAGAAUCCCAACACUUUGAGUGCUCGGCUUUUGAAAAGCAUUUACUUCCCUAACACAAAUAUCCUCAAUGCCAACAUGGGAAAUCACCCUAGUCAAAUAUGGAGAGCCAUUAUAGAUGGGCGCGAUACUUUGCAGCAAGGCAUUAUAAAAAGAAUAGGCAAUGGCCUCACAACUCAUAUAUGGCAUGAGAAUUGGCUACCG
rnacentral:rRNA from 1 species